CUCUUUUUUCCAAUAGAAAAUAUAGGUCAUCAAAAUAAACUCCUGACAGUAAAAGAACAGUAGUUAUACUAUCAAGUCUCUUUAUUUCACUAGCCAGUUAUAGUCAGUUUCCUUACUUAACAACAACAGAAAAAGUAACCUCCAAUAAGCCGUUUUAGUAAAUGUAACAUGAAAAUUUCCAAGCACACCUCUCAGGAUUAAUGAAGCCAAAGGCCCAUGUUGCUGUCAUUCAGAAGAGAGAGAGCAGAGAGAAAAAGCUAUGCCACACAACUUUCCACGAUCACCAGGCACAAAAUGGCACUAUGGGCUGUGCUGUCACUUUGUACAAGAGGUGUCAACCUGGAACAUUCAUACCCUCCCCUAGCUUGAUUAAUACAAUAAGGAAGAACUUCCAAAGAAAGGAGGUCAGCAAAGGACUG